CCACGCGAGUUCUCUCUCACUGUCCGUUGCUCAUGUUUACUGCUGCUUCGAUUUCUUUGUGAUACAAAUGCACUGAUAAACAUACUGGUUUAUAUUUUAUAUGGUCGUUCGGUACACAGGAAACAGUGUAUGUACAUAACAUUUUUGGAUUUAAUUUUGGAAGGUUCACACAUCCAUAGUAGAGAAAGAAUAGUAGCAAGUCCAAGCUUUCUUUGAGUGGAGGUACAUAACCAAUUCAAAUGCUUGUUUUGGUUAUGUUUAAGGGAACUCAUAAUUUUUAUGUUUGUCCGCUGUUAGCUAUGUAAAACAACUCAAUAAAAGUUCACUUUUCAAUGCUUUAAUAGUUCAAUUGGUAAAAAUAGUAGGUGUUCAUUCUACAAAAAAUCACUGACUUUUUUAUAUGUAAAGAAAAGAAAUGGAAAUCUGUAAGUUCAUAGAGGGACAUAUAUAUGGGGAACUUGCGUCCAGCACACGAGCAUUUGCGUCCACCACUAAGGGCAUUUGCAUCCCGCACACGAGCUACAUGCUUGACAGUUGCACACUGCCGCCAUGAACAUGCACAAAUGAUAUUAAGUAGAAGUUUGUCAGUUCAGUUUUUUUAUUGAUUUACCUUGUUUAAGUAGUAGUGCAGCAAUAAAAUGUGUAGUUGUACUGAAGUUUUAGUUGUUAUGUGGGGAACCCGGAGGCCAUUUAUUUUGGUUUACAAUUCAUCUUGUCUGUUCUUUUCAGUCUGUAUGCUUUAUUGUGCAUAAUCUUGAGGAAAUCCCCAAAAAUCAUGUGUGCACUCAAGGUAAUUAAGUGGCUUUGUAAAUUCUGACAGUCCAUCCCAGACUAAGCAAACAGUACAUGUUAGUCUUGGUUUGUGGUUAGACAUGCAAUCUGGUUUCAUAGAUGCUUCUGCUCAGACUGGAAAUACUAUGUUUUAGAUUCAGAGUUUAUAACACAUCAUUGGAUUCGCCAAGGCCGUGUCCUCUGAGAUAAGAAGAGCGACAAGGAGAUGGAGAGCUCGGUCUUUUUUUCGUGGAGCUGGCGCUGCUGCAGUACGGCCUAGUCCAGUCUAAGCCCUCCAUGGUUGCUGCUGCUGUUUCGGCAACUAGGCUCACCCCUGAAGAAGACCCCUAUGUGGAUUGACAAUCUAAAUUAUAGAUUUUCCAGAUCGGGGAAGGUGCGGAGCUUGCCUGAUUGCUAGCUAUUUUGCAUGUUCUGUUUACCCACUAUGCAUGUGUUGCUGCUUCUAGGAGCCCUAAAUUUAGGGUCAGUACCACGCCGACAAGCCAGGCAGUCGGCCUUUGCACCACGAACUGCUGCAGUUUGAUCUUGCGCAAGUGGGAAAUUCCCUCAUGCCGAGUGUAUCAGUAACACCCUACGCUCCAAGCACGUCUCCUCCUGGUCGCCCAUCAGUUCUCUUGUUCCUUGCUGCUUCUCCUAACAUCGCCAUAAAAGUUUUGCUAGGAAAAAAAUGUGUGGAUAAAAAGAAGAUUGCAGUGACAGUAGUUUUGGUUGCCAUUUCUCUCUAUAGCAGAUUGCAUCCGCACAAAAAAUGCUACUGCAGUUUACUCUAUGUGUAAAAUGAAUAAGGUUCAAUUCACAAAAACAUGUGGAAGUUCGUUUGGGAAACUCUGCAUUCUAUUUGAUUAUGCCAAGAUGUACAGGAUGACUAUUCUUUAUUGUGUGCCUUUAGCACAAUUUAAAUUUACUAGUUGACCAUAUGUGUAAUGGUUUUUUUUUGUUUAUAGGAAAACUAAUAUGUGAGCAUAUUUCAGGUUUCUUUGUGAACUUGUAAUGUUACUGUACAUGAACUUGUACAUUACCUUGUUAUCAGUUCAUGUGUAUGUGUGUUGGUAACCACUUACCGUUGUAUUA